CACCAGCGCCUCGAGUGGGGAUCGCGAUUAUUGGGUCUAAAGCGUCCGUAGCAGGCAUCGUAAAUGCUUUGUGAAAUCGGCAGGCAUAACCUGCCGGCGUGCAGAGUAGACUGCAGUGCUAGAGACCGGGAGAGGUUGGAAGUAUUCUUUGGGUACCGGUAAAAUGGGUUAAUCCAGAGAGGACUACCUAUGGCGAAGGCAUCCAACCAGAACGGUUCUGACUGUGAGGGACGAAAGCUAGGGGA
rnacentral:rRNA from 1 species